UUGUGGGAGAGUCGGGCAAUAAUGACCCGCGCCGAAGGAGCAACCGCCCCGGAAACUCUCAGGCAAAUGGACCGUGAUG
rnacentral:ncRNA from 1 species